UGGGUGCUUGCAUCAUGAUUUACAUUUGAGUGAGUGGCGAACUGGUGAGUAACACGUGGGAAACCUGCCCAGAAGCGGGGGAUAACACCUGGAAACAGAUGCUAAUACCGCAUAACAACUUGGACCGCAUGGUCCGAGCUUGAAAGAUGGCUUCGGCUAUCACUUUUGGAUGGUCCCGCGGCGUAUUAGCUAGAUGGUGGGGUAACGGCUCACCAUGGCAAUGAUACGUAGCCGACCUGAGAGGGUAAUCGGCCACAUUGGGACUGAGACACGGCCCAAACUCCUACGGGAGGCAGCAGUAGGGAAUCUUCCACAAUGGACGAAAGUCUGAUGGAGCAACGCCGCGUGAGUGAAGAAGGGUUUCGGCUCGUAAAACUCUGUUGUUAAAGAAGAACAUAUCUGAGAGUAACUGUUCAGGUAUUGACGGUAUUUAACCAGAAAGCCACGGCUAACUACGUGCCAGCAGCCGCGGUAAUACGUAGGUGGCAAGCGUUGUCCGGAUUUAUUGGGCGUAAAGCGAGCGCAGGCGGUUUUUUAAGUCUGAUGUGAAAGCCUUCGGCUCAACCGAAGAAGUGCAUCGGAAACUGGGAAACUUGAGUGCAGAAGAGGACAGUGGAACUCCAUGUGUAGCGGUGAAAUGCGUAGAUAUAUGGAAGAACACCAGUGGCGAAGGCGGCUGUCUGGUCUGUAACUGACGCUGAGGCUCGAAAGUAUGGGUAGCAAACAGGAUUAGAUACCCUGGUAGUCCAUACCGUAAACGAUGAAUGCUAAGUGUUGGAGGGUUUCCGCCCUUCAGUGCUGCAGCUAACGCAUUAAGCAUUCCGCCUGGGGAGUACGGCCGCAAGGCUGAAACUCAAAGGAAUUGACGGGGGCCCGCACAAGCGGUGGAGCAUGUGGUUUAAUUCGAAGCUACGCGAAGAACCUUACCAGGUCUUGACAUACUAUGCAAAUCUAAGAGAUUAGACGUUCCCUUCGGGGACAUGGAUACAGGUGGUGCAUGGUUGUCGUCAGCUCGUGUCGUGAGAUGUUGGGUUAAGUCCCGCAACGAGCGCAACCCUUAUUAUCAGUUGCCAGCAUUAAGUUGGGGCCACUCUGGGUGAGACUGC
rnacentral:rRNA from 2 species